GAGGGUGUAGCUCAGUGGUAGAACAUGUGCUUAACAUGCACUUGGUCUUGGGUUCAGUCUCAAGCACCCCCG
rnacentral:tRNA from 1 species